rnacentral:rRNA from 1 species
AAUGAACGCUGGCGGCAUGCCUAACACAUGCAAGUCGAACGAAGGCUUCGGCCUUAGUGGCGCACGGGUGCGUAACGCGUGGGAAUCUGCCCUUGGGUUCGGAAUAACAGUUAGAAAUGACUGCUAAUACCGGAUGAUGUCGUAAGACCAAAGAUUUAUCGCCCAAGGAUGAGCCCGCGUAGGAUUAGCUAGUUGGUGAGGUAAAAGCUCACCAAGGCGACGAUCCUUAGCUGGUCUGAGAGGAUGAUCAGCCACACUGGGACUGAGACACGGCCCAGACUCCAACGGGAGGCAGCAGUGGGGAAUAUUGGACAAUGGGCGAAAGCCUGAUCCAGCAAUGCCGCGUGAGUGAUGAAGGCCUUAGGGUUGUAAAGCUCUUUUACCCGGGAUGAUAAUGACAGUACCGGGAGAAUAAGCUCCGGCUAACCUCGUGCCAGCAGCCGCCGUAAGAC